rnacentral:tRNA from 1 species
GGGCCCGUAGCUCAGCGGCAGAGCGAGGGACUUUUAAUCCCUGCGUCGUGGGUUCGAAUCCCACCGGGCUCA